AGUUAAUUAGCUUAAGAAAAGCAUAUACUUUGAAAGUAUAUAAAGAGGGUUUAAUUCCCUUAUUAACUU
rnacentral:tRNA from 1 species